rnacentral:rRNA from 1 species
UGGUGGAGUGAUUUGUCUGGUUAAUUCCGUUAACGAACGAGACCUCAGCCUACUAAAUAGUUACGUGAAUCUUAGGAUUCACGGGUAACUUCUUAGAGGGACAAUUUGUAUAGAGCGAAUGGAAGUUUGAGGCAAUAACA